rnacentral:tRNA from 1 species
AUUGGGGUGUCUGAAAUAAAAGUAACAAAUUGUAAAUUUGUAGAUGAAUUAAAUUCUCCUAAUA